ensembl:Mt_tRNA
AGCCCUGAGGUGUGUACAUGCAUGGUUGCAAACCGUGAGUGGUAGAUUAUCGUCUGCCGGGGCUU